UUAGAGUGAAAAGGAGCAGCAAUUCUGAGAACAGCAUUUCAGGCCCACCAGACAUCUGGGACUUCGGAAAGAGAUGUACUCUCCUGCUCUUCUUUUGGACAAACGGCUUCCUCACGCAACCAGCUUAUGAGGGAAGUCACCUGUCCACAUAACUCUGAAGAAGAAGAAGAAUAACUGAUGUCUUUUGGAGAGGAAUUAACAGGAAAAUUUUUGAAAUCAUAGGCAUAAAUUGUUUAUUGCAGACAUGUUGUAGUGUGACUAUUUUUGGAUUUUCCUUUAUGGAGUAUUUAUAUUUUAUGUCAUUAAUUAAAUCUUCAUAUUUUAUAUUCUGUGUCUAAUAAACCCUUUGACCUCAA